ensembl:Y_RNA Y_RNA Y RNA
GGCUGGUCUGAAGAUAGGUGUCUCAAUUGUUCACAGCCAGUUACAGAUCAAACUACUCUUUCCCCCUUCUCACUACUGCACUUGUCUUUUUUUUU